GAUGGAGAGAUGGGCAGGUUGGAAGAAGAGAGACGGGCAGGUUGGAAGAAGAGAGACGGGCAGGUUGGAUGGAGGACAGAGACGAGCAGUUUUGAUGGAGAGAUGGGCCGUAUGGAUGGAGAGAAGGGUAGGAUGGAUGGAGGAGAGAGAUGGGCAGGAUGGAUGGAGGAGAGAAAUGGGCAGGAUGGAUGGUGGAGAGAGACAGGCAAGGUGGAUGGGGGAAUGUGAAGGGCAGAGCAGCCCAUGAAAUCCUCUGUAGCUGUACACACUGUAAGUCUUCAGGUUUUAUAAACCUACAUCCAGGUGACAACACCCGUCCUCCUACCAGAGUAAUAACACACCUCAAG